GCGAGCUUGGCGGAAUGGUAGACGCACGAGACUUAAAAUCUCGAGUCCGGAAAGGACGUGCGGGUUCGAGUCCCGCAGCUCGCA
rnacentral:tRNA from 1 species